GACCUCGGAUCAGGUAAGGAUACCCGC
rnacentral:rRNA from 1 species